rnacentral:misc_RNA from 1 species
GAUGAAGAACGCAGCGAAAUGCGAUAAGUAAUGUGAAUUGCAGAAUUCAGUGAAUCAUCGAAUCUUUGAACGCACAUUGCGCCCGCCAGUAUUCUGGCGGGCAUGCCUGCCUGAGCGUCAUUUCAACCCUCAUGCCCCUAGGGCGUGGUGUUGGGGAUCGGCCAAAGCCCGCGAGGGACGGCCGGCCCCUAAAUCUAGUGGCGGACCCGUCGUGGCCUCCUCUGCGAAGUAGUGAUAUUCCGCAUCGGAGAGCGAUGAGCCCCUGCCGUUAAACCCCCAACUUUCCAAGGUUGACCUCAGAUCAGGUAGGAAUACCCGCUGAACUUAAGCAUAUCAAUAAGCGGAGGA